UGACAGACUAACCCAGGUUUAUCCCCACAGAGACUGGUACAGGAUGACAGACUAACCCAGGUUUAUCCCCACACAGACUGGUACAGGUAUGGAUGACAGACUAACCCAGGUUUAUCCCCACACAGACUGGUACAGGAUGACAGACUAACCCAGGUUUAUCCCCACACAGACUGGUACAGGAUGACAGACUAACCCAGGUUUAUCCCCACACAGACUGGUACAGGAUGACAGACUAACCCAGGUUUAUCCCCACACAGACUGGUACAGGUAUGGAUGACAGACUAACCCAGGUUUAUCCCCACACAGACUGGUACAGGUAUGGAUGACAGACUAACCCAGGUUUAUCCCCACACAGACUGGUACAGGAUGACAGACUAACCCAGGUUUAUCCCCACACAGACUGGUACAGGUAUGGAUGACAGACUAACCCAGGUUUAUCCCCACACAGACUGGUACAGGAUGACAGACUAACCCAGGUUUAUCCCCACACAGACUGGUACAGGAUGACAGACUAACCCAGGUUUAUCCCCACACAGACUGGUACAGGAUGACAGACUAACCCAGGUUUAUCCCCACACAGACAGGUAUGGAUGACAGACUAACCCAGGUUUAUCCCCACACAGACUGGUACAGGAUGACAGACUAACCCAGGUUUAUCCCCACACAGACUGGUACAGGAUGACAGACUAACCCAGGUUUAUCCCCACACAGACUGGUACAGGUAUGGAUGACAGACUAACCCAGGUUUAUCCCCACACAGACUGGUACAGGUAUGGAUGACAGACUAACCCAGGUUUAUCCCCACAGAGACUGGUACAGGAUGACAGACUAACCCAGGUUUAUCCCCACACAGACUGGUACAGGUAUGGAUGACAGACUAACCCAGGUUUAUCCCCACACAGACUGGUACAGGAUGACAGACUAACCCAGGUUUAUCCCCACACAGACUGGUACAGGAUGACAGACUAACCCAGGUUUAUCCCCACACAGACUGGUACAGGUAUGGAUGACAGACUAACCCAGGUUUAUCCCCACAC